rnacentral:rRNA from 1 species
UACAGAGGGUGCAAGCGUUAAUCGGAUUUACUGGGCGUAAAGGGUGCGUAGGUGGUUGCGUAAGUCGGAUGUGAAAUCCUCGGGCUCAACCUGAGAACUGCAUUCGAUACUGCGCGACUAGAGUUCGGUAGAGGGCGGCGGAAUUCCCGGUGUAGCAGUGAAAUGCGUAGAUAUCGGGAGGAACAUCAAUGGCGAAGGCAGCCGCCUGGGCCUGAACUGACACUGAGGCACGAAAGCGUGGGUAGCAAACAGG